rnacentral:lncRNA from 1 species
AUGCACACAGUCAAGCUCCCUGAGCAACAGCAAAACAGAUGGAAGCAUCUCUCCUUCCAGGUUGAUUUUUAUUGCUAUUAUAGUACAGUCCGGUCCCAUUCUACAUCAUUAUAUUUGAUAACUGUCAUAAACCUGAAAUCACUGCUAUUUGAUGUCAGGACAAAGUCACUCUUGGAACUGAACCAUGCCAGACUCAAUCAACAAACUCUUGUCAGCUUCCCUUACCGCUUCCGUGUAAAUAACCUGCCUGGUCAUUCCUGUCAAAAACUCCAGGUAAAGGAAUCAGUUUUCGAUUUACUGGAGAUGAUGUGGUGGUCACGGCUGCCUUGGUGGGAAGAUAAGCCAUUUUGACCCAAUUUGAGAUGUCCGCCAUUUUGGGUGCCCCUGUCUCUCAGCCAGCCCAACACUGUGGACUAUCCAUAAUUUCACAAAAUAUCGUCAGACAACAUCUGAUGGAUCAAGAUAAAGACAAGUACUUUUUGUAAUCAUGCCUGAACAGACAAAACAUAAAUGCCGUCCGAACCACCAGAAGGACCAGACAUCUCUGUUCCCUUGCCCUUCCCAGAUAAUGGUGACUGCUGUUUUUACCAAUUUAACUCUAAGUUCAGUCCUUUCAUCUAAGACUGAGAAACCCAAUCAUGGAAUUAUCUCAUUCUAAGACAGCACACAACCCAGAACAAAGCCUUGCUUCCCUAAAGCCUUUUAAAAUUACCAGAUACAAUCCCAAUCCUAUAAACCCCUUCUAACAUCAUUUUACAGAGACAUUCCAUUGUCUGUGAGCAUGCUCCAGUGAAAAUUAACAGAGAAACCUCACUAAAAUGAAGUCGGGAGUCCAGCUGGGGGAGGUCUCCUGUCUUAGCACAUGCCCUUACCUACAGACCCAAGAAACCUACCUUUCUGGUCAUACUACUUUAUCUACUUUACUAUCCUAACAGGAGGAGGAAGGUUUUUUUCUCCUCUCCCAGCAACAGCCCAACCAAUGACAGGCUAUCACAACUCAGCGAAUGAAAAGCCAUCACACUGUAAACAUCCAGUUUACUCCAAUGGACUCACUGUUUACAACAGCUCCUCCUAUCUUCAACUGUUCCUCUGUGAAGGAGUGUUCCUUCCCUUCGUUCCCGGGAUUCGUCUAUGGUUUUGAUGUAGCAUGGAUGUUCCAAAUUGUUGUUCCUGAAUAAACC